rnacentral:rRNA from 1 species
CUAGCGACAGGCUUAACACAUGCAAGUCGAGGGGCAGCACAGGUAGCAAUACCGGGUGGCGACCGGCGCACGGGUGAGUAACGCGUAUGCAACUUACCUAUCAGAGGGGGAUAACCCGGCGAAAGUCGGACUAAUACCGCAUGAAGCAGGGGCCCCGCAUGGGGAUAUUUGCUAAAGAUUCAUCGCUGAUAGAUAGGCAUGCGUUCCAUUAGGCAGUUGGCGGGGUAACGGCCCACCAAGCCGACGAUGGAUAGGGGUUCUGAGAGGAAGGUCCCCCACAUUGGUACUGAGACACGGACCAAACUCCUACGGGAGGCAGCAGUGAGGAAUAUUGGUCAAUGGCCGAGAGGCUGAACCAGCCAAGUCGCGUGAGGGAUGAAGGUUCUAUGGAUCGUAAACCUCUUUUAUAAGGGAAUAAAGUGCGGGACGUGUCCCGUUUUGUAUGUACCUUAUGAAUAAGGAUCGGCUAACUCCGUGCCAGCAGCCGCGGUAAUACGGAGGAUCCGAGCGUUAUCCGGAUUUAUUGGGUUUAAAGGGUGCGUAGGCGGCCUUUUAAGUCAGCGGUGAAAGUCUGUGGCUCAACCAUAGAAUUGCCGUUGAAACUGGGGGGCUUGAGUAUGUUUGAGGCAGGCGGAAUGCGUGGUGUAGCGGUGAAAUGCAUAGAUAUCACGCAGAACCCCGAUUGCGAAGGCAGCCUGCCAAGCCAUGACUGACGCUGAUGCACGAAAGCGUGGGGAUCAAACAGGAUUAGAUACCCUGGUAGUCCACGCAGUAAACGAUGAUCACUAGCCUGUUUGCGAUACACUGUAAGCGGCACAGCGAAAGCGUUAAGUGAUCCACCUGGGGAGUACGCCGGCAACGGUGAAACUCAAAGGAAUUGACGGGGGCCCGCACAAGCGGAGGAACAUGUGGUUUAAUUCGAUGAUACGCGAGGAACCUUACCCGGGUUUGAACGCAUUCGGACCGAGGUGGAAACACCUUUUCUAGCAAUAGCCGUUUGCGAGGUGCUGCAUGGUUGUCGUCAGCUCGUGCCGUGAGGUGUUGGCUUAAGUGCCAUAACGAGCGCAACCCUUGCCACUAGUUACUAACAGGUAAAGCUGAGGACUCUGGUGGGACUGCCAGCGUAAGCUGCGAGGAAGGCGGGGAUGACGUCAAAUCAGCACGGCCCUUACAUCCGGGGCGACACACGUGUUACAAUGGCGUGGACAAAGGGAAGCCACCUGGCGACAGGGAGCGAAUCCCCAAACCACGUCUCAGUUCGGAUCGGAGUCUGCAACCCGACUCCGUGAAGCUGGAUUCGCUAGUAAUCGCGCAUCAGCCAUGGCGCGGUGAAUACGUUCCCGGGCCUUGCACA